AGCGAACGCUGGCGGCAGGCUUAACACAUGCAAGUCGAACGGUCCUUCGGGAUAGUGGCGGACGGGUGAGUAACACGUGGGAACGUGCCUUUAGGUUCGGAACCACACAGGGAAACUUGUGCUAAUACCGGAUGUGCCCUUCGGGGGAAAGAUUUAUCGCCUUUCGAGCGGCCCGCGUCUGACUGGCUUGUUGGUGAGGUAAUGGCUCACCAAGGCGACGAUCAGUAGCUGGUCUGAGAGGAUGACCAGCCACAGUGGGACUGAGACACGGCCCAAACUCCUACGGGAGGCAGCAGUGGGGAAUCUUGCGCAAUGGGCGAAAGCCUGACGCAGCCAUGCCGCGUGAAUGAUGAAGGUCUUAGGAUUGUAAAAUUCUUUCACCGGGGACGAUAAUGACGGUACCCGGAGAAGAAGCCCCGGCUAACUUCGUGCCAGCAGCCGCGGUAA
rnacentral:rRNA from 1 species